rnacentral:misc_RNA from 1 species
GAUGAAGAACGUAGCGAAAUGCGAUACGUAAUGUGAAUUGCAGAAUUCAGUGAAUCAUCGAAUCUUUGAACGCAUAUUGCGCUCUCUGGUAUUCCGGAGAGCAUGCUUGUUUGAGUAUCAGUAAACACCUCAACUCCCUUUUCUUUUUUGAAAUUGGAGCUGGACUUGAGUGAUCCCAACGCUUUCUUCCAAGAAAGUGGCGGUUUGCUUGAAAUGCAGGUGCAGCUGAACUUUUCUCUGAGCUAUAAGCAUAUCUAUUUAGUCUGCCUAAAAAACAGAUUAUUACCUUUGCUGCAGCUAACAUAAAGGAGACUAGUUCUUGUGCUGACUGAUGCAGGAUUCACAGAGACAGCUUCGGCUGACUAUGUAAACUCGAUCUCAAAUCAAGUAAGACUACCCGCUGAACUUAAGCAUAUCAAUAAGCGGAGGA